CAGUCGCCACGGUAAUACAGAGGGUGCGAGCGUUAAUCGGAUUUACUGGGCGUAAAGCGUGCGUAGGCGGCUAAUUGAGUCGGAUGUGAAAUCCCCGAGCUUAACUUGGGAAUUGCAUUCGAUACUGGUUAGCUAGAGUGUGGGAGAGGAUGGUAGAAUUCCAGGUGUAGCGGUGAAAUGCGUAGAGAUCUGGAGGAAUACCGAUGGCGAAGGCAGCCAUCUGGCCUAACACUGACGCUGAGGUACGAAAGCAUGGGGAGCAAACAGGAUUAGAUACCCCAGUAGUCCCUGUCUCUUAUAU
rnacentral:rRNA from 1 species